AUAUGAAAUGUGGUGGCCACCCUUGGUUGUCUUUACUGUAUCUCUGCGUGGCCUCCCUAAAAUUUUCAGACAAAAGAAAUUUUAACUCAAACGUUGGAGCCAUGAGAACGCCCUGUGACAACUGGACCCUGUAUCCGCAGGAUGGCCCACCUAAGAGCUGUGGCGAAUACUGUUAGUUUAAUACUGUUGACAACCAGCCACAUCCAAGGACAGCUAGAAGUGACUUCAUGACAAUCAGACAUCUUUACAGCCAGCUCUCCAGUGACCCAGCGACCUUACACGUCAUCUCUAAAAGCCUAAGAGGCAGCGGCAUCAGUCCUGUGUCUGUCCCUUUUCACAUGUGCAAUGGCCCCUGUUGCAGGUCCCUUUGUACAAGCCUCGUUUUUCCUCCCCCACCCCUUUCUCCUCCAUCUCCUAGAGGCUUCUCCUAUUUCCCCUCCCAAUAAACUUCCCACGUGAUACCUGC